rnacentral:antisense_RNA from 3 species
CAAUUUUGGUGACUCGUCUCGCAUAAGACAGUUACCUGGUUAAGCAGUCUGCAAGCUGACUUAACCUUCGAUCAAACCGCCCUGCAAGGCGGUUUUUUCGU